GACGAACGCUGGCGGCGUGCUUAACACAUGCAAGUCGAACGGAAAGGCCCUGCUUUUGUGGGGUGCUCGAGUGGCGAACGGGUGAGUAACACGUGAGUAACCUGCCCUUGACUUUGGGAUAACUUCAGGAAACUGGGGCUAAUACCGUAUAGGAGCUCCUGCUGCAUGGUGGGGGUUGGAAAGUUUCGGCGGUUGCGGAUGGACUCGCGGCUUAUCAGCUUGUUGGUGGGGUAGUGGCUUACCAAGGCUUUGACGGGUCGCCGGCCUGAGAGGGUGACCGGCCACAUUGGGACUGAGAUACGGACCAGACUCCUACGGGAGGCAGCAGUGGGGAAUAUUGCACAAUGGGCGGAAGCCUGAUGCAGCAACGCCGCGUGCGGGAUGACGGCCUUCGGGUUGUAAACCGCUUUCGCCUGUGACGAAGCGUGAGUGACGGUAAUGGGUAAAGAAGCACCGGCUAACUACGUG
rnacentral:rRNA from 1 species